ensembl:lncRNA
ACACACACACACACACACACACACACACCUGCUGCCUCCAGGAAGACAAACCACAGCGGUUCUGUCUGUUCUGUUCUGUUCUGUCUGUUCUGUUCUGUCUGUUCUGUUCUGUUCUGUUCUGUUCUGUUCUGUUCUGUUCUGUUCUGUUCUGUUCUGUUCUGUUCUGUUCUGUUCUGUUCUGUUCUGUUCUGUUCUGUUCUGUUCUGUUCUGUUCUGUUCUGUUCUGUUCUGUUCUGUUCUGUUCUGUUCUGUUCUGUUCUGUUCUGUUCUGUUCUGUUCUGUUCUGUUCUGUUCUGUUCUGUUCUGUUCUGUUCUGUUCUGUUCUGUUCUGUUCUGUUCUGUUCUGUUCUGUUCUGUUCUGUUCUGUUCUGUUCUAUUCUGUUCUGUUCUGUCUGUUCUGUUCUGUCUGUUCUGUUCUGUCUGUUCUGUGUGUUCUGUCUGUUCUGUUCUGUCUGUUUUGUUCGUUCUGUUCUGUCUGUUCUGUUCUGUUCUGUCUGUUCUGUUCUGUCUGUUCUGUUCUGUUCUGUCUGUUCUGUUCUGUUCUGUCUGUUCUGUUCGUUCUGUUCUGUCUGUUCUGUUCUGUUCUGUUCUGUCUGUUCUGUUCUGUCUGUUCUGUUCUGUUCUGUUCUGUCUGUUCUGUUCUGUUCUGUCUGUUCUGUUCGUUCUGUUCUGUCUGUUCUGUCUGUUCUGUUCUGUCUGUACUGUUCUGUCUGUUCUGUUCUGUCUGUUCUGUCUGUUCUGUCUGUACUGUUCUGUUCUGUUCUGUCUGUUCUGUUCUGUUCUGUCUGUACUGUUCUGUCUGUUCUGUUCUGUUCUGUUCUGUCUGUUCUGUCUGUACUGUUCUGUCUGUUCUGUUCUGUCUGUUCUGUUCUGUCUGUUCUGUUCUGUUCUGUCUGUUCUGUCUGUUCUGUUCUGUCUGUUCUGUCUGUUCUGUUCUGUUCUGUCUGUUCUGUCCGUUCUGUUCUGUCUGUUCUGUUCUGUCCGUUCUGUUCUGUCCGUUCUGUCUGUUCUGUUCUGUCUGUUCUGUUCUGUUCUGUUCUGUUCUGUCUGUUCUGUUCUGUCUGUUCUGUCUGUUCUGUUCUGUUCUGUCUGUUCUGUCCGUUCUGUUCUGUUCUGUCUGUUCUGUUCUGUUCUGUUUUGUUCUGUUCUGUCUGUUCUGUUCUGUCUGUCUGUUCUGUUCUGUUCUGUCUGUUCUGUUCUGUCUGUUCUGUUCUGUUCUGUUCUGUCUGUUCUGUUCUGUCUGUUCUGUUCUGUCUGUUCUGUUCUGUUCUGUCCGUUCUGUUCUGUCCUGUCUGUUCUGUCUGUUCUGUUCUGUUCUGUCUGUUCUGUCUGUUCUGUUCUGUUCUGUCCGUUCUGUUCUGUUCUGUCUGUUCUGUUCUAUUCUGUUCUGUCCGUUCUGUUCUGUUCUGUCUGUUCUGUUCUGUUCUGUUCUGUUCUGUUCUGUCUGUUCUGUUCUGUUCUGUCUGUUCUGUUCUAUUCUGUUCUGUUCUGUCCGUUCUGUUCUGUUCUGUCUGUUCUGUUCUGGUCUGUUCUGUUCUGUCUGUUCUGUUCUGUCUGUUCUGUUCUGUUCUGUCCGUUCUGUUCUGUCUGUUCUGUCUGUUCUGUUCUGUUCUGUCUGUUCUGUUCUGUCCAUUCUGUUCUGUCUGUUCUGUUCUGUCCGUUCUGUCUGUUCUGUCUGUUCUGUUCUGUUCUGUCCGUUCUGUCUGUUCUGUCCGUUCUGUCUGUUCUGUUCUGUUCUGUCUGUUCUGUUCUGUCCAUUCUGUUCUGUCCGUUCUGUCUGUUCUGUCCGUUCUGUCUGUUCUGUCUGUUCUGUUCUGUCUGUUCUGUUCUGUCUGUUCUGUUCUGUCCGUUCUGUUCUGUCUGUUCUGUUCUGUCUGUUCUCUUCUGUCUGUUCUGUUCUGUCUGUUCUGUCUGUUCUGUCCGUUCUGUUCUGUCUGUUCUGUUCUGUCUGUUCUCUUCUGUCUGUUCUGUUCUGUCUGUUCUGUUCUGUUCUGUUCUGUUCUGUUCUGUCUGUUCUGUCUGUUCUGUGUGUUCUGUCCGUUCUGUUCUGUUCUGUCUGUUCUGUCCAUUCUGUUCUGUCUGUUCUGUCUGUUCUGUCCGUUCUGUUCUGUCUGUUCUGUCUGUUCUGUUCUGUUCUGUCCGUUCUGUCCUGUCUGUUCUGUCUGUUCUGUUCUGUCUGUUCUGUCCGUUCUGUUCUGUCUGUUCUCUUCUGUCUGUUCUGUUCUGUCUGUUCUGUUCUGUCUGUUCUGUCCGUUCUGUUCUGUCUGUUCUGUCCGUUCUGUUCUGUCUGUUCUGUUCUGUCCGUUCUGUUCUGUCUGUUCUGUUCUGUCCGUUCUGUUCUGUCUGUUCUGUCCGUUCUGUUCUGUCUGUUCUGUUCUGUCUGUUCUGUUCGUUCUGUUCUGUCUGUUCUGUUCUGUCUGUACUGUUCUGUUCUGUCUGUUCUGUCUGUACUGUUCUGUCUGUUCUGUUCUGUCUGUUCUGUCUGUACUGUUCUGUUCUGUCUGUUCUGUUCUGUCUGUACUGUUCUGUCUGUUCUGUUCUGUCUGUUCUGUCUGUACUGUUCUGUCUGUUCUGUUCUGUCUGUUCUGUUCUGUCUGUUCUGUUCUGUUCUGUUCUGUCUGUUCUGUCUGUUCUGUUCGUUCUGUUCUGUCUGUUCUGUCUGUUCUGUUCUGUCUGUUCUGUUCUGUCUGUUCUGUUCUGUCCGUUCUGUCUGUUCUGUUCUGUCUGUUCUGUUCUGUUCUGUCUGUUCUGUUCUGUCUGUUCUGUUCUGUCUGUUCUGUCCGUUCUGUUCUGUUCUGUCUGUUCUGUUCUGUUUUGUUCUGUCUGUUCUGUUCUGUCUGUCUGUUCUGUUCUGUUCUGUCUGUUCUGUUCUGUCUGUUCUGUUCUGUUCUGUCUGUUCUGUUCUGUCUGUUCUGUUCUGUCUGUUCUGUCUGGUCUGUUCUGUCUGUUCUGUUCUGUUCUGUCCGUUCUGUUCUGUCCUGUCUGUUCUGUCUGUUCUGUUCUGUUCUGUCUGUUCUGUCUGUUCUGUUCUGUUCUGUCCGUUCUGUUCUGUUCUGUCUGUUCUGUUCUAUUCUGUUCUGUUCUGUCCGUUCUGUUCUGUUCUGUCUGUUCUGUUCUGUUCUGUUCUGUUCUGUUCUGUCUGUUCUGUUCUGUUCUGUCUGUUCUGUUCUAUUCUGUUCUGUUCUGUCCGUUCUGUUCUGUUCUGUCUGUUCUGUUCUGGUCUGUUCUGUUCUGUCUGUUCUGUUCUGUCUGUUCUGUUCUGUUCUGUCCGUUCUGUUCUGUCUGUUCUGUUCUGUUCUGUCUGUUCUGUUCUGUCCAUUCUGUUCUGUCUGUUCUGUUCUUUCCGUUCUGUCUGUUCUGUUCUGUCCGUUCUGUCUGUUCUGUUCUGUCUGUUCUGUUCUGUCCAUUCUGUUCUGUCCGUUCUGUCUGUUCUGUCCGUUCUGUCUGUUCUGUCUGUUCUGUUCUGUCUGUUCUGUUCUGUCUGUUCUGUUCUGUCCGUUCUGUUCUGUCUGUUCUGUUCUGUCUGUUCUCUUCUGUCUGUUCUGUUCUGUCUGUCUGUUCUGUCCGUUCUGUUCUGUCUGUUCUGUUCUGUCUGUUCUCUUCUGUCUGUUCUGUUCUGUCUGUUCUGUUCUGUCUGUUCUGUUUGUUCUGUCUGUUCUGUGUGUUCUGUCCGUUCUGUUCUGUCUGUUCUGUUCUGUCUGUUCUGUCCAUUCUGUUCUGUCUGUUCUGUCCGUUCUGUUCUGUCUGUUCUGUUCUGUCCGUUCUGUUCUGUCUGUUCUGUCUGUUCUGUUCUGUCUGUUCUGUCCGUGUUGUUCUGUCUGUUCUCUUCUGUCUGUUCUGUUCUGUCUGUUCUGUUCUGUCCGUUCUGUUCUGUCUGUUCUGUCCGUUCUGUUCUGUUCUGUCCGUUCUGUUCUGUCUGUUCUGUUCUGUCCGUUCUGUUCUGUCUGUUCUGUCCGUUCUGUUCUGUCUGUUCUGUUCUGUCUGUUCUGUUCUGUCUGUUUUGUCUGUUCUGUUCUGUUCUGUUCUGUUCUGUUCUGUCUGUUCUGUCUGUUCUGUUCUGUCUGUUCUCUUCUGUCUGUUCUGUCUGUUCUGUUCUGUCCUAUCAGGUUUUCCUGCAGUGGAACAUGUGACUCUGUCCAGAUCGACACCAACAUCUCGUGGACUCUUUCUUCCAACAAGUUCACUGGAAAAUCUUCUUUUAAUCCUGAUGACAGACAAUAUUUCACCUGUAUGUCUCAUAUUUCCAGCCCCCACGAGACAGACAUUGAUUUUGCCCCAGUAGCACGAGACGUUUCAGGCUGA